GGCGGCACGCCUUAUACAUGCAAGUCGAACGAAGUAGCAAUACUUAGUGGCAGACGGGUGAGUAACAUGUAGGUAUCUUCCCUUUGGUGAGGAAUAACACGAGGAAACUUGUGCUAAUACCUCAUAAGUCUUUACGGAGAAAGCUUUAUGCGCCGAAGGAUGAGCCUGCACUUGAUUAGUUUGUUGGUGGGGUAAUGGCCUACCAAGACUUUGAUCUAUAGCUGAUCUGAGAGGAUGAUCAGCCACAUUGGGACUGAGACACGGCCCAAACUCCUACGGGAGGCAGCAGUAGGGAAUAUUGCACAAUGGAGGAAACUCUGAUGCAGCGAUGCCGCGUGAGUGAAGAAGGCCUUUGGGUUGUAAAGCUCUUUCGUCGGGGAAGAAAAUGACUGUACCCGAAUAAGAAGGUCCGGCUAACUUCGUGCCAGCAGCCGCGGUAAUACGAAGGGACCUAGCGUAGUUCGGAAUUACUGGGCUUAAAGAGUUCGUAGGUGGUUAAAAAAGUUGGUGGUGAAAUCCCAGAGCUUAACUCUGGAACUGCCAUCAAAACUUUUUAGCUAGAGUAUGAUAGAGGAAAGCAGAAUUUCUAGUGUAGAGGUGAAAUUCGUAGAUAUUAGAAAGAAUACCAAUUGCGAAGGCAGCUUUCUGGAUCAUUACUGACACUGAGGAACGAAAGCAUGGGUAGCGAAGAGGAUUAGAUACCCUCGUAGUCCAUGCCGUAAACGAUGUGUGUUAGACGUUGGAAAUUUAUUUUCAGUGUCGCAGCGAAAGCAUUAAACACACCGCCUGGGGAGUACGACC
rnacentral:rRNA from 1 species